UACGUAGGGUGCAGGCGUUAAUCGGAAUUACUGGGCGUAAAGCGUGCGCAGGCGGUUUCUUAAGUCAGAUGUGAAAGCCCCGGGCUUAACCUGGGAACUGCGUUUGAAACUGGGAGACUAGAGUGUGUCAGAGGGGGGUAGAAUUCCACGUGUAGCAGUGAAAUGCGUAGAGAUGUGGAGGAAUACCGAUGGCGAAGGCAGCCCCCUGGGAUAACACUGACGCUCAUGCACGAAAGCGUGGGGAGCAAACAGG
rnacentral:rRNA from 1 species